UAAACCAGGAUUAGAUACCCUAUUAUUUUAGACUUAAAUGUUUAAUUACCUGAAUAUUAAUAGUUAUUUUCUUGAAACUCUAAGAAUUUGGCGGUAAUAUAUUUUUUUAGAGGAACCUGUUUUUUAAUCGAUGAACCACGAUACUUUCUACCUUUUAUAUUUAUUUGUAUACCUCUAUUUAGAAUGUUUUUUUAGGAUAAUUUUCUUUUUCUUUAUAAGUUUAAUUUUAGGUCAAGGUGCAGUUUUUUUUAGGUAAACAUGGGUUAUUUUUUUAAUAAACAACUAGUUAAGUUGUUUUGAAUUUGGAUUUAACAGUAAAUUUAAUUAAUUAAUUAUUUUGAAUAUUUUUUUAUAUUAUGUACAUAUCGCCCGUCACUCU
rnacentral:rRNA from 1 species